CCUACGGGUGGCUGCAGUGAGGAAUAUUGGUCAAUGGGCGCGAGCCUGAACCAGCCAAGUAGCGUGAAGGAUGACUGCCCUACGGGUUGUAAACUUCUUUUAUAAAGGCAUAAAGUGAGGCACGUGUGCCUUUUUGUAUGUACUUUAUGAAUAAGGAUCGGCUAACUCCGUGCCAGCAGCCGCGGUAAUACGGAGGAUCCGAGAGUUAUCCGGAUUUAUUGGGUUUAAAGGGAGCGUAGAUGGGUUGUUAAGUCAGUUGUGAAAGUUUGGGGCUCAACCGUAAAAUUGCAAUUGAUACUGGCAGCAUUGAGUAGAGUUGAGGUAGGCGGAAUUCGUGGUGUAGCGGUGAAAUGCUUAGAUAGCACGAAGAACUCCGAUUGCGAAGGCAGCCUACUAAACUGCCACUGACAUUGAGGCUCGAAAGUGUGGGUAUCAAACAGGAUUAGAUACCCGAGUAGUC
rnacentral:rRNA from 1 species